GGAGACAGAGUCCCUCCUUCACUCACUCACUCCCUCCCGGAGACAGAGUCCCUCCUUCACUCACUCACUCACUCACUCCCUCCCGGAGACAGAGUCCCUCCUUCACUCACUCACUCACUCACUCCCUCCCGGAGACAGAGUCCCUCCUUCACUCACUCACUCACUCACUCCCUCCCGGAGACAGAGUCCCUCCUUCACUCACUCACUCACUCACUCCCUCCCGGAGACAGAGUCCCUCCUUCACUCACUCACUCACUCACUCCCUCCCGGAGACAGAGUCCCUCCUUCACUCACUCACUCACUCACUCCCUCCCGGAGACAGAGUCCCUCCUUCACUCCCUCCCUGCCGGAGAGAGUCCCUCCUUCACUCACUCACUCCCUCCCUCACGGAAAGAGGGUCCCUCCUUCACUCCCUCCCUCCCGGAGAAAGUCCUUCCUUCACUCACUCCCUGCCGGAGAGUGUCCCUCCCUCAAUCCUUGUCUGCCUGCCUGCGGGAAUCUCAAUGCCGGACGUUCUGUCUGCCUCAGUCUCACUCCCUCAAUCCCAGUCUCCGUCUCUGUCCCUCUGGAGGUGAGUCACCAUCUCACACCAUCAUCAAAUAACGCGAGAUGAUCUGGAAGUCGUAGGAAACCGCUAAUUCUCGCGAGAGGAAAUCAAGCAACUUCGAAAGCUGCGCUUAGCUGUUUCACCAAACUGAUCAAAGAUGGAGUUUAUUGCCCUAACUAGUGAAAGAAAAUCUGAAUUUGAGAGAACUGGUGGCCUUUGUGCUCAAGGUUGCCUAGCAAUCCUCUCUGGAGUUCUGUUCUGUAGACCCAGGAGUCAGAAAAGCACCUGAGGAGUUGCAUAUCUCUGGAAAGCUGGACUGUAACCAUGUUCAAGAGACUUGUGUCCCCAAGUUGAUUGGAAUCAGAACUGGACAUUUAUCAUAAAUUUAUUGCUGUCAGCAAUUCAGCUUCAUUGUAAAGAAAACGUGGAUCGGAGAAGUCAUCACAUUCUGCCCUUUGUUUCAAGAUCCUUGAUCCACAGGGGUUGUUUUUCCCUUUUCCUUUUCAAAAAAAGACAUUGCAUCUGCAGAAAUUUGUCUUCUUGUGUCUUGUGAAUGUAUCUCUGGAAUAAAGGGCAUGUAAUUUUGAUUCCAGAUCAUAGCUUAGACAAUAAUGAUAAGUUUUGUUCAUAUUAAAUGUCUUAUUUUGAUUUCAUUAAAGUAACCAGAUGGAUGUUUAUUUUUGAUUGUAUUACUAAAGAGGAUCAAUGGCCAUUUUGGUAAUUGAGUCAACAUAUUUACACUCAUGGUGUGACGAAUGGUGUAGUGGGGUUUUCUUAUUAGCAUUAGCGUUAGUCAUAACACAGCAUCUUGUUAAUCACAGAUAAUCACAUUAUCUAACAUACAAAAUUUAUUUUAGAAGCUGAAUCAAAGAAGCAGUGAAACCUGAGUAGAUAAAGCAGCCUGUGAUGAACUGAAAGAUGAGUGGUACUGAAAAGAGCUGUUCAGAAAAGCAGACAUCCAGACUGCAGAUGCUGACCACGCAGCGAGGAACAUUAUUCAAUUCCAGUGGGCAAUAUACAAUGAUGUCAUUCAGGGUGCAAUGUUACUUCAGCUCUCAUUGUGCCUGCUUUGUGCUUCAUUUCAAAUGUCACGAUGAUGGGAAGAAGCAGCAAAACCAGGAGAGAGUUUCCUUCCACAAUAAAAAAAUUAGGAGCUUUCCUGGAGCCUCACGGAGAAUCUUGGGCCCUAGGCUUCCUUCCACCGAUUAGGUUGGACCUUUUUUCUUUCCAUUUAUGUAUGUUCUCUAUCUUCAUUGUUAUUAUUGUGAUAUUAUUUAUGAGUUUGUAGUUUUUAUUUGUUCUUGCUUAUAUCCAGUAAUUAGUUAUAUCUUUGGCCUUCAAUAUUGAAUAUUGUUUCGAUAUGCUGAUAACUGUGUCUGACUUCAGUGAGCAAAGAAUUAGUUGUCUUUAAAACAACUUGCAAAAAUACAUCCUGAUCAUUAUUCCUUCUUUUGGAAUGUUAUCCUGGUUCUC